rnacentral:snRNA from 1 species
UGAUGUGAGGGCAAUCUGGCUGUGACAUCUGUCACUCCAUUGAUUGCUAGGGUUGAUUUGGCUGAUCUGGCUGGCUAGGCAGGUAUCCACUUCUUCCCACACUGCUCCACAUGCAUCCCUCCUGAAGCUGCGUGCUCAGUCGGAGGACAACCAUCCUGAUAAAGCAGGACCAGUCUUCAGUCAAGGGUAUAUGAGUAGCUGCCCUUCCUAGCUAGAAUCUCCAAACAAGCUCUCAAGGCCCAUUGUAGGAGAACGUAGAGUAGUCAAACUUCCAAGAUUUCAGACACAUCCAAAUGAGGCGCUGCAUGUGACAGUCUGCCUUU